rnacentral:misc_RNA from 1 species
AACUUUUGACAAUGGAUCUCUUGGUGCUGGCAUCGAUGAAGAACGCAGCGAAAUGCGAUAAGUAAUGUGAAUUGCAGAAUUCAGUGAAUCAUCGAAUCUUUGAACGCACAUUGCGCCCGCUGGUAUUCCGGCGGGCAUGCCUGUUCGAGCGUCAUUAUGACCAAUCAAGCUCUGCUUGGCCUUGGGGCCCGCUGUACCGGCGACCCUUAAAAUCAGUGGCGGUGCCGUCUGGCUCUAAGCGUAGUAAUACUUCUCGCUAUAGGGUCCAGUCGUCCACCCGCCAGAACCCCCAACUUUCUUAGGUUGACCUCGGAUCAGGUAGGGAUACCCGCUGAACUUAAGCAUAUCAAUAAGCGGAGGCU